GCUGCGAAAAGCAAAGCAGAGAAGUGAGAACGCUGGUUGGAAAUGCAUUAGUGAGCAGGGAUGUACUGCUCCAUGUUUACAGCCUGGCCUUUAAAGUGUGCAAUGACAGCUGCACAAAGGAAAACGUCCAAUAAAAGAUCUCUUUAUUUCAAGACGACGUUGCGAGGCUGCACCAAAUAGGAGUAGGAGUGGGCAAUGGGCUGAAGGCUCCUAUUCCUCACUAUCACACUGGAUGUGUAUUACCCAGCCAGCAGGCUACCAGGACACUUUGGGGUUCACCGUGGACUCUCCUUGGGGAGAGAAGCUUGCGCCUCCUACUCUCCAUUUUACCUGGGAUGGGACCAGUGUGCUUUCUAAAGGAGAAGCAGCCUGCCCUUCUGCUGUGGGCAUGAGAAGGGUGAUGAAGAAGGGAAAAUUAGGGGAAAACAGCUUUCCUUCAGCAGCAUCUCCCUUGCAAAUGCUCCUUGCCCCACAUCCAGAAGUUUGCCAGAGCUGGAUAAAGCUGAUUUCCUCCCCUGGCGGCAGCAGCGGAUGCAGAGAACAAUAGGUACGGUGACUGCUCAGGGGACAACUCCUGCUCCCCUGUGCUGUGCCCAGCCCUCAGCUGGGGAUGGAGGGACCCACCCGAGGGGAAAGCCAGCUCCAGAGGAGUGGUUUGGAAAGGAACAUUGCAAAAAUUCAUGGAAAGCUGUGAUUGAGCGAAGAAUGAGGUCGCGCAGCCGUUCCAGGAAAGGUGCAGCAAGAUAUGUGUUUACUGCAGAAAUUCUAUGGAAUGGGUAAAAAUAAAAGAAUCUCACUUCUGGGAAGGUGCAGGAGGUCAGAAGAACCUGAGAGCAAGCAGUCACAGAGCUGUGACCUGUCCCAGGAGCCCCUUUUUGGUGCCUGAUCACUGAUGUGAGGCUGCUUAUUGCAAAACCUGCAGCGGGACGUAUCCAGUUAUCACUGUCUCUGGGUAAUGUAGAUAAAAUGUUUGCUUUUUUAUUUUUACCUCAGUAAGUCCUUAAUCCUCCCAACGUGGGCUGACUGCAUCUGGUUGCUCGUCAGCAUCCACUCUGGGCCACCACAGCCUCAGGAUCUAUUUGGGAUUCCACACCUCCCCAAAAGCUGUUCUCCAGUUUGGCUGGUGCAGUUAUCCAUCCCAAAUGCGGCUCUUUACUUCUCCAGGUUUGGUCUAGCUCCUUCCAAAUGAUCACUGUGAAUUUAUUCAGAUCGUUGCUAGUCGUCUGCCUUCCAGACGCCUUGCAGCCCUCCCAGCCCAGAGUUACUGUAAUGCACUCUUCAGUCAAUCAUCUGCACUGCUAACGCAAAUUGUGUAUGCCUGGGCACCAGACCCCUUGCAGUCUGGCAGAGAGUAUCCAGAGCCAUAUACUGAGCAUGAGAUGUCUCCUGUGUGUUGUGUACCCACUGCAUGGCCUUCGCCUGCCUCUUGAGGGUGACCAGGAGAUGUGGGAUGAGCAGUCUCUGAGCUUUGGGGAUGCAGCACAUCCUUUCCAUGCAGUGUCAGAGGUUAGCCAUGUUUAGCUAUUUAGAGCUUGGCAGUGAGUAGGAAGGAGGGAGAAAGCAUAAGGGACAGGCGUAUGUUCUCAGAUGCUCCAUAACGAUGUCAUCCGAGGAUGAUUUACAUCGGAGCUGGGACAUAUGGUGUGCUUUAUCACCAGGAUGCGUGCUGACACCUGAUUACAUGCCCACAUUUCUUCUUCUUGGCUUUACACCUCGCUCAUUCCCUGCGGAGGCACCGGGUAUGGGUCCUCAAAGUGGAGCAAUACUGUCCUUGGGUUGUGGGAUGUCUGAAAGGGGGUUCCCUGCAGACAUCUCCUGGCCUUGGUCUGCACUCAUCUUGGCCUCUGGGAGCUUGCUGGGGAGCCAGUGCACCUCUUAGCUCCCAGGUGCUAAAAUCCAUCAGGAUUGGCUCCUGGGAAGGGAAAAAGCCAAGGAUGAGGGUAACUGGGGAAAACUGAUGGCAUUAAACAUGUCAUCAUGUUUACUGUUGGCUAGAAAUGAUUGACGUUUUUCUACAUUGUUCCUACACAUUUGCCUAACUUGUUCUUAAGUGUUUCCAGUGCUGCACUCCUUUACUUCCCAGGCUAAUUCAUACCUGUCCUUAAUUAACCCUGUCAUUAGGGAGGUCUCCUCAAGUGUCACACGCAUGUGCUGCGCUUUGAUCCACCAUAUCACAUCCUACCCAUCAUAGACAAGGAGAACCAUGCACUCCUUUCCCUGAAGGGACAUUCUGCCUCUGAGGUCUGUUGGAAAGGCUCCCCUCUCUUUCUUUUUGCCCGUUUCCUUCAGUUCUUCAUCAUUGGGUUCUGUUUUCAUCAUCUUUCCUUCAACCUAUGGCGCUCUGCCCACUUUGGAUCCUCCCAUGGCACUCCAGCUGAGAUUUCAACAGGGGUGAGCCAUACCAAAGGGCAACUCAGUGUGCUUCACACCCAACCACUGUGUUAAAUCAUCCCAUCUAACAGGAAAGAAAACACUGCUGGCUUUCAUGGCCCUGUUGUAUUGGUGAAGAUGGAUAUGAUGAUGCAGAAGGCCACAGGAUACUGCAGCAUUGGUCGUGCUCUCCUUCCAGGUUGGGAAAAUGAUUUUCCAUAGUGGAAAAAGCAUCUUUCACAAUCCAGAUCUCUUGCAGGAGGGAAUCUGAUUUUGUUGAUAUUUUCAGGCCGACUUGGGUUUUAGCUUGCCUUGUUUUGCAAGGAUGAGAACAUUUUGUGCUGAUGAAAUCGUUCGGCUUAAUUGCACACUAAAAGCAUGUUGAUGUUUAUAUUAUGUGAGUAUUAAUUUUAAUCUCCAAUAUUAAUCAGUAGCAAUGUAAACAAUGUAUUGAGUAUUAUCCUUGCCAGGCUCUAUUUGUAUGUAAUUCAACAUUUACAACAGGUGUUUAAUAUUUUAUAUUGUGUGGCAAUAUUUCUCUGUCAUUGUUCAUCAGGGACAGGAAAAGAAAUAAAGGGUCUGAAGUGCAGUGAAGGAGUUUUCCUUAUGGGAAGGGCAGUGAAACUCCUUUUUUUUUCCCCCAACUUUCCACUUGGGGAAGGGAAAUUCCAGAAGUGGAACCCUGUGGGAGGAAUUGCUGAUAAAACAGCCCUGGAAACUCCAGAGUUGAUUACCUCAAAGGAAAAGUUUUCUGUAUUUUGCAGAAAAUGAAGAAGAUUAAAGGCAAAACCUAGACUGGCCAAAUUUUGCUUUGAUGGGGAUGUUGAUUUGGUUAAGUAGCUGCCCAGAAAUCAUGAUUCAACACGUCUUGCUCCCCUUCACCUAAAUUUUAACUGUUACCUCCCUGGCUGGACUGAAGGCCACACGUUCAGAGCUGGUUGAUGGCAUGUGUCUGAGAAUCAAGACACAUAAAAAUCCUCUGCGUGAUAAAUUUAUCAUAGAAUCCUAGACUCCUAGAAUGGCCUG